rnacentral:lncRNA from 1 species
AAAUAUUAAAAUAAUUAAUUAAAUAAAAAAUAUAUAAUUAAAAAAAAAAAAAUAGAACCCAUUCAGUCUUCCCCAAUCCAAUCCCAGGCUUCUUUCCCACCUGGAAUCCGACUCGCAGAUCUUCCAGAAACCCUAGCCUUCCUCUUAAGAUUCUCUCCCAUUCCUCCAAGAACCACUUCUUUCUCUCUCUCCUCUCCGCCUCCGCCUCCGUCUCUUUCGCUCCUUUUCUUCUUCACUUCCGUCUUCGAUCAAGCUCCUUCGUCUUUCACUGGCGAAGAACUAGAAGCUCCAAACACCCACAAAGAAAGCCCAGUCCGAGCUCAUCACAAUAAUCUCCAUUAGAGAACAAAGAUACAAACUUCAACUUAAAAAAAGCCUUAACAUUUAAUUAAAAUCAAAACUGAAACAAAAGAUUAAACACGAUGAGCAAGACUAAAUUAAAUCAGUUCCCAGUCCCAGAAGAAACAAAAAUUAAAUGAAUUCUGAACAAAAAUUAAAUCGUGAGCAGCAGAAAUAUGGGGUUCGGCCUUUGGGUCUGGGUUCCGUUGCAGAGAGAAAAGGGGUUGGUUUAGGGAUUUCGUUAAUCCCGAACAAUUCAAGAACCUCGAAAGCUUCACAACUGAUAAGAAAUGAAGGAAAAAAAAUAAAGAAAAUUGAGGCGAGAUCAGAGGGUGAUUUAGGGAUUUCGCUUCAACCAACCGUUCUUGGCGAGCUCGAGGACGUGCGUGGUGUGCUUAGCAGAAGCUCGAUAGGGUUCGCUUCAAGAGAAGGUGGAGUUAAGGACCUUCACCUGCUCGCUGACCUCGCUCAGCAACGCCUUUCUGGCUUCGCCGGACUUCACCGAGAUCUCCUGCUCGUCGCCGGUUUCCUCCUCUAGCUUCCGUUUCUGCCUCUUCCACCCUGUCUCUGGUCUUGGCGCCUCUGCAACUCCAUCAACAAUGACGGAAGCGACGAAGAAGAGAAACUGAUCCAAAUUGGAAAAACAAACUUCGGAUUUGAACAGGUUAGACUGAGAGACAGAGACAAGUGUGAGAGAGAUCUACGGGUAUUUUCCGACUUUUAGAAUUGAAAAAAAAAAAAAAAAGAGGGGUUGGUCGCUGGAUUGGGUGGGGAAGAGGAAAGAGAGAUGAACCCAUAUUGGUUUUUUAGGUUUAGGUUUGGUUUUUUAAUUUUUUUAAUUUUAAAUUUUAAAUUUAAUUU